UGUGUGUACCGGAAGAGGUAUCCCCGGAAUACCCGAUCCACCUUCAACGUAGAAGGAAAAUGCCGAACACACGCGCUCCUCAAAGACUUAACAUUGAGCCAAUCCGAGGGUGCAAAGGAUACUCCGCAUCAGGCUGGCAACAUUGGUUUACAUAAAUUCUUAUUGUAUUUAUUAUAUGUAAAUGCGGUAACCGAUAUAAUUGUACACCCGGAGAUACUCUUCGAGUGCAUAAUAUGUGAUAUUAAAAAUAUGAGGUUUGUUAUAAAUAAAACGACACCGGAUUUAUAUGUAAAACAGUCGAGCUGUAUAAACAGUAAAAAAAAUUAUUACA
rnacentral:lncRNA from 1 species